GGAUGACCACGAGCUGUCCCUUCUGCACCUGCUGGUCCAACACGUUCUGUCCGUUGUCGUUGACCACUUGGAUUCUUCCUUGUCCUCCAGUGCAGUACAAGAUCUCGUUAGCGUUCAUGUUGUAUUUCGGAAGCACCAUCGCGUUCUGCAACAUUUUAUGAAUUGUGAUCGUCAUCCCUCAUAUAUAUAGCUUCCAAUUUUAAUAUAUUUUGCUAAUGGAAAAACAUUAAUAUAUCUUACUGAAAAAAUAUUAACUAAGUAAUUAUACAUUAGAUUUAUAUUUUGAUUUAAAAUUAUGUAUAUGAAUAAGAUAUACUAGGAUUUAUCUCUCUCUCUCUCCUAAUGUCUAAAGGCAGUAGAAACUAGAAACGCUGAUAUCUUUAUAUUUAUAAUUAUAAGAAUAAUAUACUUACACCCUGGAUAACGCCACGAGUGGCGCUGAGCCUGACAUACUCCAAGAUGGGCAAGGUAUAGCUGUUGACGCUAGUUACACGACCUAGGUUGGGCUUGUACACGUCAGCACGAGCAGGGUCGUCAAUGUUCUCGUGGGACCUCAUGCUGCAGAUAGUCUCCUCAAGGCCGUUACCCUGUGGGCUACGUGGGUGUCUCCACUCCUCGCUCUCGUAGGGCUGUCUUAGAGGUGGCCUCACGACCUGGAAAGGUCCCUUAACACGAACGAUGUUUCCUCGGCUGUCUUGUUGGUUUUGAAGCUCCUGAGCCAAUUUAACGUUGAUUUUCAAUGCUUGAGCUAUGACCUGUGCGUCGAACCCGCUCCACAUGUUUUUCUGUUCUUGUUGUUGCUGUGAACCGCCAAAGCCGCCCUGUUGGUUGUUUCCGGCUAAACGGAACACCUAUAGCAUAGAAUCAACAAAUGCAAAACAUGUAUAUAUUAGUUAAACUGAUAUGGUAGAUCUUCUAACGGCGUAUGUGUGCGUCUGUGUAUAUAUAAGAUUACUCUAGGGUUGCGGUCGAGUUGGUUUUGGUAGUUUGCGAUGUCGAGAAGAGCGAUGAUGACAAGAGGCUGUUCUCCGGAGUUGUAGAUCCAGUGGGCAGAGCCAGGAGUGUUGGCAAAGACGUCUCCGCGUCUGACAUGUUCCACCUUCUGGUGCAUGUCACGGAACCCUUGUUGUCCCUGCUGUCCCUGUUGUCCUUGUUGUCCCUGUUGGCCCUGUUGUCCUUGUUGUCCCCGUUGGCCCUGUUGUCCUUGUUGUCCCUGUCCUUCCCAUGGUUGGCCUUGUUGUCCCUGCUGUCCUUCCCAUGGUUGGCCUUGUUGUCCCUGCUGUCCUUCCCAUGGUUGGCCUUGUUGCCCCUGCUGUCCUUCCCAUGGUUGCGAGUCCAUGAAGGUCUCCGCACAUCCAGGGACCACUCUUCCGCUAAUACCCCUUCCUGUAAAUUAAUUUUAAAUAAAGAGAGAACAAGAGUUAUCGUGAGGUGAAUUGAUUAUAUCUUCAUUAAUUAGACAUGAGAUAAACAUAUUGGAUUGGAAGGGUUAUCAUGUAUGAACCUUGAACGACGUAGGAAAUUUUUGGGGAAGUGAAGAAGGUGGGCAAGUAAAGACCGCCUUGUUCGAUUACAUAACGAGCGACAGAAACACCAACACAUCGGAGCUGAGGGUUGUUGUGGUCCCAGUACUCGAUCUGACCGGCUUCACUCUUGAUAGUUUCGGUGGCUUGGAGAACGUCUAGGUUGUCGAGGUUACACUCGUUCUGUAGCUGAGGAGGAACCCCAAGCGACUGCCUCGCAAGGCAGCCAUUAAGGACGAGGAGAACCCCGAACGUUGCAACGAGGAG
rnacentral:lncRNA from 1 species